GGUGUGAGAAAUACUCAGAACUACUCUCGUCCCGUGGCUUCCCAGGUUGAAAAUGUUGGUCUGCUCUGGGUGGCAGUUUUGUUUAUAAGAGGGGGCUCCCCAGCCUUGUCUGCUCAGAGGGCUCCCUCCUUCAGUGGGAAGGAGGCAGCCCCGAGACUGGACCCCCUCCCCCCACACGGUCCCUGGAAUCACCUAAGAUAAACUGCACGCCCCCGCAGCAGUGGCCCCUCGUUCCUCCGUGUAGCCGAGGCUCUGGGGAGCAAGUGACUGGCCCAAGGUGACAUGGCCACCCAUGGCAGAUCCCCCACUGCUGGCCGAUGGGAAGCCGCUGGGCACCAGGCCCCCUGAUUAUGACAAAGGAGGCUGGGGUGGGGAGGGCCUAUCCAUUCAUGCGAUACAGUUUUGCUGAGCACCUGCUAGGUGCCAGGGGCAGUUCCAGGCAGAAAUCCUUCCCCCUGUGGAGCUGAUGGUCUAGGGCACAAAGGCAGUGCCUGGAGCCACAGUCCAGGCAGCUGUUGCGGGUCUUGAGUCCUGAGGAGGGAAACUGAGGCAGGGGACAAGAGGGCCCGGGAAGGUUUUGUCUCAACAGUGGGUCCCCUCCCCCUGUGCAGCUUCGAGUGACCCGCACCCAGGGCAGAGGGCGAACGUCUCGCACAACACCCGGUCUUGGCAGUCAUCCUGGAGGAAUGGUUCUGCCGUGGGGCUGGUUCUGCCCAGGGAAGGGAAGAACUGAGUCAGGAGGUCUGUGGGGGCUGGCGGUGAGGGAGGGAGGAGCCUGGGUGCUUCCUUCCUUUUCCACCCUGCUCUCAGGCAUUUUGAAAUACUUGGAAGAACUUCGGCUGUGUGGCUUGACCAUCCCCUUGCCCUCUCUGGGCCACAGUUUCCACAAAUAAGAUUGAGGGGGGUCAGCUGGGAUGAGCCAUUUCGGCUCUGGCUGCCUGGGGUCCUGGUCUAGGGACUCAGAGACUCUCCACUCCGAGUCCGGCUCCGUCUGUGAGUGUUCCUCUCGGCUGGAAGGGGCCCAAGGGCACAGGCCGGGGGUGAAAGUCAGGAAUGGCCAGCUCUGAGCGGCUUGUGGUGGCCGGGAACCCAUGCAGUGUGUCAGGAGAUGCCGUGUGGGCACACGCAUGUGUGCGUGCAGCCACACGUGGGUUCAGAGUGUGCUUUCGUGGGUGUCUUUACAGCAUGCGACAGAGCAGGGGGAGCGGAAGUUCCUGGAGUCUACAAGCUUCCCCACCACUGCCUCCGUCAUCGCAUUCCAGAACCCAGAACCAAAGGCCACCUCCUGAGUCCACUGGUCCCAUCCACUGGCCUUUAGGGGCAGAUCCACCUGGGUAAGUGUAACCUCCCCAAGACAGACAUGUAGACUGCCUACAAAAUAAAAAGCCUGUGUCCACAGAAGCAGAACAGGCCAACAACAGGUGGCAAAAGGCAGCAGCUGAAAGUUCGCUCUGGGACCUGUCCCUCACCCGGGCUAGCCAAAGGGUGCCUGCACAGGAUGAAAUGAACUCUUCAAUGCGAAAGAGAAUAUGGGUCUCCUCCGCUGUUGAAUUUUCAUGGAACGCCCCUUGUCCUUAAAUUGGGGAGGGCAGAGCAACAGAGAAAGGUAUUCACCGAAAGGUCCGAUGUAGGCCCAUGUUACCUGUGCUUCCUAACCCACUUCUUUUAGGACAGACAACGUCUAGAACACUGCUGGACUGGAAAUAAGAAUACGCUGCAUUGGGGCACCUGAGUGGCUCAGUCAGUUGGGUGUCUGACUUCGGCUCAGGACAUGAUCUCACGGCUUGUGGGUUCGCGCCCUGCAUUGGGCUCUGUGCUGACAGCUCAGAGCCUGGAGCCUGCUUCGGAUUCUGUGUCUCCCUCUCUCUCUGUUCCUCCCCUGCUCAUUCUCUGUCUCUCAAAAACAAACAAACAUUUAAAAAAUAAUGAAAUAAAGAAACAGAAUGGGUAAGUGACUAGUGAAAGGUCACAAAAUUAGGCAGCAGUAGACCCAGAAUUCACACCCAGGUCUGGCUUGAGAUCUGGUUCUUCUCUCAACACGCCUGCAGUGGCCUCGAGGGUGGAGUCGUCUGGUUACAGCCUCAGUGAAGACCCGAAGCCUUUACUUCUGUCAGCUGGACCUGUUUACCAAUGGGCAAAGGGCCCCUCCCAGGGCCAGCCAGGCCUCUGGAUCACCUCAUUUACUUUUAUGAGUAAACACCUUCAGAAAGUGCUAUUAGAUGUUACGUAAAUGCAGGCGAGUCACGGUAACAUCUGAAGGGUUGGGGCUUGUGUGUGUGUGUGUGUGUGUGUGUGUGUGUGUGUGACAAGAUAGCCUGACCGAGUGAGUGGGAGACGAAAUAUCCCCUUUACACUCUUAAGGUAGCAGUAAGUUCAAAGUACCCUAAGCUUCCAGUAUCCAUGAAUCAAAAAGUACAGAGUAAUGGGCUGAGCCUGAGCCUGGGGUGAUCACGCCUGCUGGCGGGUCACCAUGUGCUGCUAAGAACCAGCUAAGAAUGAAUGAAGCUUUCUGCUCCUGGAAAACAGAUGUGUCUGAAUCCAGAUGGGCUUGAGCUCCUCUCAAGCAGCUGUUCCCGAUGGAAGGAGCAGAAUCACCCGAUAUCUGUUUUUCCAAAUACUCCAAUAGAACAGGACACUUCUGAGGGGAGAGGAAGAAGGAAGCAAUUUCUGGAACAAGCUCGCGGGUGAGCCUGGCCGU